UGAGGAAUAUUGCACAAUGGGCGAAAGCCUGAUGCAGCAACGCCGCGUGCGGGACGAAGGCCUUCGGGUUGUAAACCGCUUUUCUGAGGGACGAGCAAGGACGGUACCUCAGGAAUAAGUCUCGGCUAACUACGUGCCAGCAGCCGCGGUAAAACGUAGGAGGCGAGCGUUAUCCGGAUUUACUGGGCGUAAAGCGCACGCAGGUGGCUUAGCAAGUCGGACAUGAAAGCUCCUGGCUUAACUGGGAGAGGUGGUUCGAAACUGCUGAGCUUGAGGUUGGGAGAGGGACGUGGAAUUCCCGGUGUAGUGGUGGAAUGCGUAGAUAUCGGGAGGAACACCAGUGGCGCAAGCGGCGUCCUGGCCCACACCUGACGCUGAGGUGCGAAAGCGUGGGGAGUAAACAGGAUUAGAUACCCUGGUAAUCCACGCUGUAAACGAUGUCAACUAGGUGUCGGUGGUGUUACACUAUCGGUGCCGAAGCUAACGCGUUAAGUUGACCGUCCG
rnacentral:rRNA from 1 species